rnacentral:tRNA from 1 species
GGGAAUAGCUCAGUUGGUAGAGCGCAACCUUGCCAAGGUUGAGGUCGCGAGUUCGAGACUCGUU